AGAGUUUGAUCAUGGCUCAGAUUGAACGCUGGCGGCAGGCCUAACACAUGCAAGUCGAACGGUAACAGGAAGCAGCUUGCUGCUUCGCUGACGAGUGGCGGACGGGUGAGUAAUGUCUGGGAAACUGCCUGAUGGAGGGGGAUAACUACUGGAAACGGUAGCUAAUACCGCAUAACGUCGCAAGACCAAAGAGGGGGACCUUCGGGCCUCUUGCCAUCGGAUGUGCCCAGAUGGGAUUAGCUAGUAGGUGGGGUAACGGCUCACCUAGGCGACGAUCCCUAGCUGGUCUGAGAGGAUGACCAGCCACACUGGAACUGAGACACGGUCCAGACUCCUACGGGAGGCAGCAGUGGGAAUAUUGCACAAUGGGCGCAAGCCUGAUGCAGCCAUGCCGCGUGUAUGAAGAAGGCCUUCGGGUUGUAAAGUACUUUCAGCGGGGAGGAAGGGAGUAAAGUUAAUACCUUUGCUCAUUGACGUUACCCGCAGAAGAAGCACCGGCUAACUCCGUGCCAGCAGCCGCGGUAAUACGGAGGGUGCAAGCGUUAAUCGGAAUUACUGGGCGUAAAGCGCACGCAGGCGGUUUGUUAAGUCAGAUGUGAAAUCCCCGGCUCAACCUGGGAACUGCAUCUGAUACUGGCAAGCUUGAGUCUCGUAGAGGGGGGUAGAAUUCCAGGUGUAGCGGUGAAAUGCGUAGAGAUCUGGAGAAUACCGGUGGCGAAGGCGGCCCCCUGGACGAAGACUGACGCUCAGGUGCGAAAGCGUGGGGAGCAAACAGGAUUAGAUACCCUGGUAGUCCACGCCGUAAACGAUGUCGACUUGGAGGUUGUGCCCUUGAGGCGUGGCUUCCGGAGCUAACGCGUUAAGUCGACCGCCUGGGGAGUACGGCCGCAAGGUUAAAACUCAAAUGAAUUGACGGGGGCCCGCACAAGCGGUGAGCAGUGGUUUAAUUCGAUGCAACGCGAAGAACCUUACCUGGUCUUGACAUCCACAGAACUUUCCAGAGAUGGAUUGGUGCCUCGGGAACUGUGAGACAGGUGCUGCAUGGCUGUCGUCAGCUCGUGUUGUGAAAUGUUGGGUUAAGUCCCGCAACGAGCGCAACCCUUAUCCUUUGUUGCCAGCGGUCCGGCCGGGAACUCAAAGGAGACUGCCAGUGAUAAACUGGAGGAAGGUGGGGAUGACGUCAAGUCAUCAUGGCCCUUACGACCAGGGCUACACACGUGCUACAAUGGCGCAUACAAAGAGAAGCGACCUCGCGAGAGCAAGCGGACCUCAUAAAGUGCGUCGUAGUCCGGAUUGGAGUCUGCAACUCGACUCCAUGAAGUCGGAAUCGCUAGUAAUCGUGGAUCAGAAUGCCACGGUGAAUACGUUCCCGGGCCUUGUACACACCGCCCGUCACACCAUGGGAGUGGGUUGCAAAAGAAUAGUAGCUUAACCUUCGGGAGGGCGCUUACCCACUUUGUGAUUCAUGACUGGGGUGAAGUCGUAACAAGGUAACCGUAGGGGAACCUGCGGUUGGAUCACCU
rnacentral:rRNA from 1 species